rnacentral:rRNA from 1 species
GAUGAACGCUGGCGGCGUGCUUAACACAUGCAAGUCGAACGGUGAACACGGAGCUUGCUCUGUGGGAUCAGUGGCGAACGGGUGAGUAACACGUGAGCAACCUGCCCCUGACUCUGGGAUAAGCGCUGGAAACGGCGUCUAAUACUGGAUAUGUGACGUGACCGCAUGGUCUGCGUUUGGAAAGAUUUUUCGGUUGGGGAUGGGCUCGCGGCCUAUCAGCUUGUUGGUGAGGUAAUGGCUCACCAAGGCGUCGACGGGUAGCCGGCCUGAGAGGGUGACCGGCCACACUGGGACUGAGACACGGCCCAGACUCCUACGGGAGGCAGCAGUGGGGAAUAUUGCACAAUGGGCGCAAGCCUGAUGCAGCAACGCCGCGUGAGGGAUGACGGCCUUCGGGUUGUAAACCUCUUUUAGCAGGGAAGAAGCGAAAGUGACGGUACCUGCAGAAAAAGCGCCGGCUAACAACGUG